CGCAAGCGAGUCGCUGGAGUACCUCUGCCAAACCGAACAGUGACGCUCGCUGGGAUGUCGACAUCAUCAUCUCACUCAUCUAAAUCAACGAGGAGCAAGCCUGGGAUUAAGCAUGAUAUCAGAAUUUCUUGUAAUAUACAUGGAUAUUGUACAUUCAUGGAUGAAAUCGCUCCACGGAUGAGGGCUGAACAUUGGAGGGCUUAUGGAUCCUCCAAUUUCAAAAAUUAUGUUAGUUUUGGUGCAAUUCCAGCAGACAAGGCUACGAUCAUGUUGCUUCUAGAUCAUCUGGAUUUAGCCACGGGGAAGUUUUUUUUCAAGGAUAGCCAAACUGGGACUCCACAGGCGUAUACUUUUGAUGUAAAUUGGGUGCUUAAACAUACCCGGUUUAAUGAUGAAGGGGAGAAACCCGAAGGCAACCGAGAUACGGAGAAUAGGAUAUGGAACACAUACUUCUCCAACAAACAACAAUUACAAUACAAGAGUGGCCGAGACUACCUUGAGGCCCUAUUGAAAAGAUUGGUUCGGUCAAGAAAGAGGACGGAUGUUUUUGAUUUUGUUAUGCUUCAAAUCCUCUAUCAACUCACAAUGAUAUGGACUCUGACCGCGAGAAUGAAUGCACCCCGGCAUAUGUUUAAAUAUAUAGAUCGGUUAGAUAUGGUUGAUAAUUUGUCAUGGGCGACAAUCAUCUACAAGGAAUUGUGGGAUUCUUUCAAGGCUGCGAAGAUAGCGAAGAAGGGGCAGACAUAUCUCAUCGGUUGCGCUCCCUUGCUAUCGCUAUGGUAUUAUGAGAUUUCAAACAUCAAAGAGCCGGUAAGGGUUGAUGAAUCCAAGCCACCAAUGAUAAAUUGGACAUUGGAGGGUAAGAAGGUGGGUUCGGUGCGGACUACAACGAUUUUGAAGAAAUCGGAAGCCGCAAUCCACAUCUUACCGGAGCAAGAUGUGGCGAGGUAUGUUCAUGAGGAAAUAAAGCAAAAGCUUACAAUGGUGAAGGCUAAAGUUGAGGAGGAAGUUACGGGUGAAAAAUCAUUAGGGAAGAAAAGAGUCCAAAAAGAGAAUGAAGCUUAUGAAAAGUUGGUGAUGUUGAAUGAAGCUUAUGAGCAAGUACUUGUUACUCACGGCGUUGAUAUUUUGGCUAUUAUAGUCGAAACUGAGAAAACAUUUGCUGAGGAGAAACAUAUCAGGCAAAACAAAGGAGAGCCACAAAUAGAGAAAGAAUGGGAGGCUGAGAAGGAAGAAGGGAAGGAAGAUGAGACAUUGAUUGAAGGUGAUCAAACCCAAGACAUGGACAUUAAACUGGAGGAGUGACAGGCUAAAGUUGAGGCAGAGAAAGAAGAAGGGAAAGAAGAGGAGGGAGGCAAAGAAGGUGAUCAAACCCAGGCCAUGGGCAGUGAACUGGAGGAGCUUUAAGAGGUAAAAGUUGCUGAGAAUGUUCCCAAAAAGAAGAAGGGAAGGAAGAGGAGGGAGGAAACCGAUGAUACUUUAAAAGCAUUUGUCAGUGGGCUACGGACAAAGAGCCAAAGGAAAACAAAGAAGCCCAAGUUCUUAGAAUCUCUCUUCCAAACUGAAUUGCCUAAGAAGGGAAGGAAAGGGAAGAAAGGUGUCGUUCUGGUGGAAGAUGACGACGACAAGGGGGAGAAGGAUGUGGAGAAGCCACUUGCAAUUUCACACAUCGGUAGGAGAACAUCUGUUGCAGAGCUAUGGAAAAGGGAAAAAAGUGAAGAGGAAAAAAAUUUAUUGGAGAUGUUGAAUAUGAGCAUUCCUUCUUCACAAGACUUUGAUGUUAGGCUAUCGGGAACAAUCGACGAAGGCUUUUACCAUAAUUUCACCGUUGAGGACAUUCCCGAUGCAUCGGAUGAUGAAAACAAGUGGCUUUAACAUUUUCUUACAUUAAAAGUUGACAAUCGGACAAUUUUUGAGGUUGAAGAUCAUACUAUAUGCAGAUAUGAUAUGCUACAUCUUUUACGUGGUGGAAGAUUAAAGGAUGAGAUUGUUGAAGCUCUGGUCGCAAGACUUCCAACAUGGCUCAAGCUGCCAGAAAAUGACCAUGUCGAAAGAAAAUACGCUAUUGUCAUGUUGUAUUUUAGUAUUUGGUUGCUAACUGCUUCAAAUUUGGAUGAGCGCAAUGUCUAUGAAAAUUACAUAAAGAAGCAUAUAGAUGAAGGGAAGGAUGUGU